UCCGGUAUGGUGUAACGGCUAACAUUGCCGCCUUUCAUGAAGAUUCAUGCAGGUGCACGCGGCAGCUCGGGGUUCGAUUCCCCGUACCGGAA